AGCACAGAAAACCAACAACAGCAGCAACAAGAAUCACAGAAACACUCAGACCAGCGAUGAGUCCAACAGGUGCAACUGUGUCUCCUCCUGUCUGACCUGCAGCCAAUUUGAGGUGUUCUCCCCUUGAGCCCAUGUUAAAAGGCUGGCUUCACUACACACCACAGAAAGAGAAACAGGACAAAGUUCUGCAGUAUUUAAACAUGAACGUGGAUAUUUGACCUGGUGUAAUGUGUUCGUCCCUCAGUCUGCUGAGAUGAUCACCACUCAUCUCUUCAAGCG